rnacentral:rRNA from 1 species
CAUGCUGUAAACGUUGGGCACUAGGUGUGGGGACCUUGUGGUUUCUGCGCCGUAGCUAACGCAUUAAGUGUCCCGCCUGGGGAGUACGGCCGCAAGGCUAAAACUCAAAGGAAUUGACGGGGACCCGCACAAGCGGCGGAGCAUGCGGAUUAAUUCGAUGCAACGCGAAGAACCUUACCAAGGCUUGACAUGCACCGGUACAGUGUAGAGAUAUGCUGGCCUUUUUGGCUGGUGUGCAGGUGG